UACGGAGGGUGCAAGCGUUAUCCGGAUUUAUUGGGUGUAAAGGGUGCGUAGGCGGGAGUUUAAGUCGGUGGUGAAAGCCCACAGCUCAACUGUGGAACUGCCAUUGAUACUGGUUUUCUUGAGUAUAGUUGAGGCAGGCGGAAUUUCCGAUGUAGCGGUGAAAUGCAUAGAUAUCGUAAAGAACACCUAUAGCGAAGGCAGCUAGCUAAACUAUAACUGACGCUGAGGCACGAAAGCAUGGGUAGCGAACAGG
rnacentral:misc_RNA from 1 species